rnacentral:lncRNA from 1 species
ACAACUCGGAGUAGACACCGACAGGCCGGCCUUCCUCCGAUCCACACCUCCACUCUAUCUCUCUCAAUCUAGUAGAAACUAGAAGAUCUAUUUCUACUUUACAUUGGUUGCUAAGCCUAAAAAGAAAUAUUAUUUAGAGAAGAGGUUUUCCUUCGAGGGCACCCCUCAAUCUCUAUGAUAAUUUCUUCUCUCCUCCAGGGGCCAGAGGGGGUCUCCUUAUAUAGUCCUCCCCUUCUAUGCGUUUUUGGGUCGAUAGGCGAGGUGGUACUAUGUUAUUCUGGAUCCAAUAGGUCGGUGGAACGUCGUGUGCGAAGAGAGUCCGGAACGGGGUCCAGAGGUGGGCAGGCGCCCAGGUCCUCAGGGCGGGCGCCCUGGGCCUGGCCCCUUUCGGGCUCCGCUUCCUUCCCGUGGCUUCUGGAGUCUUCUAGAUGGUAGAAAAUUGCACGGUGGGUUGAUAUCUCUAUGUAAUCCUGACAUGUGGGCCUUUCUUCCUUAUUUCCUGAUAACCCCCUGCAGAAAUAGACAAACACCAAAACUCGUGGAAUUCUGUCAGAUAAAACCCUAAGUCUAGAUGUUGAUUUCAUUUGGAUCCUUUUCUUUGUUUAUUUGAUAAUUAAAUUUGAUACUUAAGGACCGUCAACAAACUCCCCCAAGCUUACCUCUUGCUCGUCCCUGAGCAAGGAUGAACUCAAGAGUUUCUACAGUGGUUUCAUUUCUUAGAAGUACACACGCAUUUAAGCAAGAUCUCAUCUCUGAGUUAGAAUAAACUGUUAAGACUUAAAACUUACUUACUUUACCUACACCAUAGGACUUGUAACCGUCACUUCUGUCUUGAGUGGUUAAAAGAUAGAACAGUCUAGCCAAGUGCCAUGUCUCUUAUUCUUGAUCAGCUAUAGCUCUGGGGUUUUUGCAGAUUUUCAAAUAAAACUCAGAAAUUCCUUGUAUAAUUCUCUCUAGUCUCUCUUUUGUGGUAUUUCUGGAUCCUUACCAAGGCAGUAAUGGGAUAUGCCUUCUCUCACAGUAUGUGGUAUUUUUGGUAUGAGGCAUAGUGAUAUUGUCUUCUCUCUCACCCUACUCUAAUAAGGCUUUAAUAUCUGGAGCUCAUAGGUGGGAGAUAAAGUAUACAUACUUACAAGACAUUUAUUGCAUAGUCAAACCAUGGAUACAAAGAAACAAAUCAAUAAGCCAAAUCAAGAUGUGCAUGUGUGGCGAAUGAAUGGUGUAUGGUGAUGAUGGUGAUAACAAUGGUGGUGGAAGUGUAAUUCUACUUUGCUCUUUGAGGGGAUACAUACCUUCCUUGCUUUUGCAACUUUAUGAGGAGAAUGAGAUGCUCUUCUUUUUUUUCUUUUCUUUCGAGGUUCCGAGCACUUGCUCCUUUUUAUUUCCUCGUAUCUUUUAUUUUCUUUUUCUCUCUUUUUCUUUUUUUUCAAAGCAUUCAUCUCUUGAGAUAAUAUAGCAAGUGGUAGUAACAAGAUAACUUGAGCAUUUAUUUCACAAGGGGAAACAGAAAUAUUUUUGGUUAUUCUCUCCCGGAUUAGGAGUAGAAUACUUUUGGGUGGUUUUGGAGAUGGAAAUUAGUGGAUAUAUGUGGAUGGUACUUCCGGAGUAGAAGUAGCAUGUAUGAGUGAACGUGCAAGUGAAUCUUGAUUUAACCACAUGACAAGCUCCUAAGGGUCUACACAGCUUGACCACACUCAAUGCUCAUAAGCAAUAAAUAGUAAAUGUGUGGCUCAAGGUCUAGCAAGCAUGUAUAUAUGGCUGUGGUAGGAAUUUAAACUCUCAUCAUACAGGAACUCAUCAUGCAACAUUUUAAAGAUUUUCAAAGAUAAAAUUCUCCAGAAUUCUAGCAUCUCUAGGAACAGAUAAACAGCAGCUCAACCUUCCCAUAUCGUAUCCGUUAACAACUUAGACUUCAGAUCAAGUUUUCAUCCCACAAGUUUAGGUCUAGAGCAAGCCUUAAAUUAUAACAGUUAUAUCUAAACUUGAGAGAGAGAACUUCAAAUUUGCAAAUUAGGCAGAGCAACUAUUCAUCAUAUCCAUGCUUAAGUUUUAUUAUUAAGAUUCAGAUUAGCAUAGCCACUUUAUUAAACACACUAAGCAAAAGAUAUAUAAGCAUAAAAUCUUUAUUUGGUUUUUCAUAGUUAUGUGUAUUUAUAUUCUAAUAUAGUAUAAGUAUAAAGAUAGAUAGAAAUACUUAUCGAGAUAAAUGGGGGUGCUCUCCCCCAAGCUGAAUUUUGACGUAAUUUCUCUUGAUGUAGCUAGUAGGUGGCAGAGGUGUGUUUGAAAGUCAGCAGUAUUUUGACAGUGAUUAGAAUGUCCUCCGUCUGCUAGUCUUCUUGAUUCUUAAAUUCUGUGGAGCUCAAAUAGACAACAAAGCUUGUGGAACUGAUUAAGUGUUAGCAUAAAUAUCUAGCCUUUAUCAUGUUGAGACUCCUUAAUAAAUAUUACUCCCUGUUUUUAUAUUUUUGUUUUUAUAAAGCAGAAAAAUAUUUAUUUUAUUUUUAUGCCACCACAGUGAAUGUACUUAUGGGUUUUAUGCCACUCGUCUACUCACAUGGGGCUUACAGUUUUUUUCACAUUUUUAUUUUUAUUUUUUUACAUUUUUAUUUUCUUUCUAGGAUAACACGAACAUGAUUAACUAAGCAAACUAUAAUUGAAUAAUUAAAAGGAAAAGGAUAACUACCAAGUUUACCUUUUGGUAAGGCGUUCGGUGUUUUUAAGUCCUCCGAACGGGACUCUCCAUUUUCUUAAUCGUCCUGAGGUUCAUUGGAUGGCGUAGUCGGUACUUCCGGCAGCGCCUCCUCUUCAUUUAUAGUUAUCUUCAUUUUCCAUACCUGACUCGGUGUUACGGUCUCCUCAGGACAGUUCUGUUCAAGUUGUAUGUCUUCAGUCCUUAUCACUUCUCCUUCGUAGUCUACCCAUCCGUCCUUGAUGAUUUGCCUCCUCUGGUUUCGGUUGCGUUGUCUUCUUCUUGUCCUGACCUGCUUAGAAUCUUCAACUAUAUAGUUAGAAUCAUUAAAGUAGUGGCGUACCUUCUCAGAGGGGAAGUACAUGUGGACUUCUCCGGUUCCAAUAUAGAUAAUGGCUUUGAUAGUGCUGAGGAACGGUCUUCCAAGGAUGGUGGAUGGAUCAUACUCGUCUUCUCCCAUGUCAAUGACCUGAAAUUGUCUGACACUGAAUGUAUCUUGGUUGUAGGAGCAUGGUUCCAUGCAGGAGCUGAUAAGUGACUACGGCCAUUAUGUUAUCGUUAGAUCCGGUGUCGCAAAUUGUCUUGUAGAAGCUAUAUCCAUUUAUGGAGCAGUAGAUGCUUGACAUUCCUGGGUCGUCCUUCUUGGUCAAAAACGGUGACUUAAGUUGAUGAUCUUGGCCUCCAUGAACUACAGUGACCAUCUUAGCUGACUCGGUCCACAUUUGCUUGUUCCUGUUCCUCCUGUUGGUCCUCUUCCUUGAUUUACGUCUGGAUUGAUCUUGAAUUUGUGUAGUCUUGUUCUUGAAGAAAAAUGUCUCCUUCUUCCAUUUGACGUAGAAACUGAUCUUGGCAGCACUAGCGUAGAUGAUAGCUCCCGUGGUGUUCAAGAAUGGCCUCCCUAGGAUGAUAGGUGCUCUCUCAUCAUUUUCGGUCUCUACCACUACGAAGUCUGCUGGGGCAUACAAGGUACCAACUUAGACACAAAGGUUCUUCAAUAUUCCUUUUGAAAAAGUUAUCGCCUGAUCUCCAUUGUGUUUGUGCUUGUAGAUCCCGGUUCUUCACUUGAUGGAAUCUGGGAGUUGUAAAACGCCUUCACGUUUCUCAAAAUGUGUCCUGCUCAUAGAGACAAGGCAGAGAUCAAGUGCAUGGGCCCUGUUGGUGGAAAACACCAACAGAACCAAAAGUGUAUUUGUUCUUCUCUAACCUUAAUCAUAGUGAGCAAGACAAAGUUGAUGGAUCAUGAGUGUAGCAUUUAAAACAUUUGUUAGAUCAGAUGGCUCAACCUAAUGGAAAGAUAAUCUAUCUAUAUUUAUGUUUUGUUUAUAUCUUCCAAAGAUUGAAUGUGCAAUACUUUAGCUUAUAUGAUUAGGAGUGUGGGAUCACGAAGGUAGUACUAAGAACAAAGAUUAAAGGACUAAACAUGUUGAAUUAAUUGAGUUGGUUAAUUUAGAGUUAUAAAUCAUACAUGUUUGUCUCUUUAUUUAUGUGAAUGCCAGAACCAAGGAGAACUUAUAAAAGUAAUCAAGUACUUUAAGAUGUUAUUGAAGAGUUAUGGUAUAGUAUCACCUUGUGGAAGCUUUCCUUUCUUAGUGGUUGUGCAUCGUGUUUGUGGCACCCUCCAUGGAUCAUCUCUUUAUGAUGAAUGAGCUAUGUCCUUCUUGUGCAAAUUGUUAAACUUCAUGUGUCUCCUUUAUCUCCAAUGAGUUUGUAUCUCAGGACUUCCCAGGUUGAUAUUGAAAGUUUUCCUGCAGGGGUUAGUCCAACAAAAUAUCCCAUAUCUACUAUAGCAUACUAUCGGCUCAAAAAUCAACCUAGACACCAUGUCUAAUUUGAUUUAGGAGGGCAUUUUAACCUAAGCACCAUGCUUAAUUUAAAAAUCCUUUGGAAGUAAGAUCAUCAUUCCUAAACUAAGCACCAUGCUUGAUUUAAGAGAUAAAUGAAACUACUCCAAACCUAGACAUAUACUAAAGCAAAUAAAGGUAGCAUGAGAGCAUUUAUAGCGAUCUACUCAAGUGGAGGUGAAGUAGUGUAAUUAGUACUUAACAAAUUGAGCAUCUCUCAAAGGUAGGAACAACCAACAUAGCAACAUGGCAAAUGAUGUUUUUAUGUAAAGUACUCCCCCAAGCUUGAAUUUUGCAAAAUUCAAGUUUGGAUGAAUUUAAUUCAAUGUUGUGUGAUGGUUGGUUGGACAUACCUUGUGCUUGUCAUUCAUCCGAUCUUCUUGCUCCAAUCCUGGAAAGGUUAGUGACAAGAAUACCCGAAGGAAUAUUUCUACAAUUAUCUUUAUAUGCUCAAUACACAAGUCAAUGUUGCAAAUAAUUAGAAGUGCUUGUUUUAGGACACUAAGCUUGUCCUUGGGAAACCAUCAAUUAACUCUAUGAGAUCUGCAAUAUUUAUUAUAGACAUAUGCAUCGACAACCGCUCUUUUAAAGUUUUUAUAAAUAGAAAAGAAGAGAGGGUUGGAGAUCUCAAAUGUGAUAAGGAUGGAGAGACUAAUUGAUUGGAGAGAUGUUUUAUAUGAGCAAGGACUGGGUAAGGUAUUUAUGAAAUAACUUCCAUGCUCACUGUUGUUUCUCUCAUUCUCAAACUCCAAGGAUGAUUCUUCAUGAAUGCUAAAAAUUCCUCUAGGAUUGUCUCUCAAGUUUGUUUUAUCUAUCCAUUCAAUGGUGAUAGCACAUGGAUUUUUAAUGCCCUUUAGCCAUUGAUGUUGCUCUUCUCGAUCCUCCUUCUUAUGCAUGGGAUGUCUAGAUAGAUUCAUAGGAUUAUCGGGAGGUUCAAGAGAAAUAGCAUAGUAGAGAUUAUUAAGCUCAAGAAUGGGAUGGAUAGCCGAAUCAUGGGAUUGAAAUGUUUGGAAAUUGGCUAUUGAAACUUCCUUUCCUCGUCUGGGAGAUGAUUCCUUCUCUAUCUCUAAGAUUUUUCUAUGAAGACUAGUACAAGAAGGAUAUCCACGAAUGAAGACAUACCUUCCUUUACUAAUAGAUAAAGAAAGAAAGACUCUACCAAAGGUUAUAUGAUUAAGACCAAUGUGAAAAUAUCUGGGAAAAACAUGGUCUUGUAGGGCUAGGUCUAAACCAGAAUUUAUAGAAAGAUUAAUAAAUUCCCUAGGUGUAGCUAAAAGUGCAUUAUCUUUUUGAUUAAAAGAUAGGACCUCAGCUAUAGAAAAGGGUUGGUUUUGACCUAUUGCAAUCAACUCCGGACACAGAUCAUAAUUAGGGGCAGGACGUGUUGACUCCCAUGGUCUAUGGCUGGUCUCCGAAGGUGCAAAGAAUUUAAUAAUAGGUAUGGCAUUUGAGUUAUCCAUAAAGAUAAAAAUAAAAAGAUAAAAGAAUAAAAGUAUAAAAGUAUAAUACAAGAUAAUAGCAAGACUCAAAGUUAUCUCAGCAAACCGUCUUUCUCCCCGGCAACGGCGCCAGAAAUGCUUGUUGAUAUUUGGUAACGCAAUUAGAAAAUGAUCCGCAAGCGCACGGAUAUCGGUGAGCAUUUCACCCGGGAGGUUAUCUAGAGUUAUCGUAUUUAUAUUUUUACCACUGGGAGAAAGGGUGCAUCUGACUAACCAAAUCUAUUGCUACUAUCCCUUUAGGCUACAAAGAAUGUCUCUCGAUGUGAGUGAUGUAUAGAGAAGACUGCAACUGUAGUCUCGUUCUAACCUUGGUAAGGAUGAUCUACUGUUCUAUUGGGGAGGCUCACGGAAUCUAGACAACACAAAGGAUGUUCGACCCGCACCUAUAACCCUACCCGUCCUGCUAACGAGAUGUGAUCUGCAAAGGUAACUCGGAAUUGUCACGUUCCUCGCUACUACCACGGUCUAGCUAGUCAGGGGAUAUCUAUGAGUACCCUAGCCUAAACACCACGUUUACGCUAACAAGUGAUUACUCUAAUACUCAACCGGAAGAGGAUUAAAGUAAACUCAUAAACCAAAGAACAAUAAAACAAGAACUUACUAGUAUUAGAAGUCGAAUUACUGAAGAAUCUUAGAAGCAAGCCUCGGGUUAGGAGACUUGAUCCCGUAGGUACAACUCGGAGUAGACACCGACAGGCCGGCCUUCCUCCGAUCCACACCUCCACUCUAUCUCUCUCAAUCUAGUAGAAACUAGAAGAUCUAUUUCUACUUUACAUUGGUUGCUAAGCCUAAAAAGAAAUAUUAUUUAGAGAAGAGGUUUUCCUUCGAGGGCACCCCUCAAUCUCUAUGAUAAUUUCUUCUCUCCUCCAGGGGCCAGAGGGGGUCUCCUUAUAUAGUCCUCCCCUUCUAUGCGUUUUUGGGUCGAUAGGCGAGGUGGUACUAUGUUAUUCUGGAUCCAAUAGGUCGGUGGAACGUCGUGUGCGAAGAGAGUCCGGAACGGGGUCCAGAGGUGGGCAGGCGCCCAGGUCCUCAGGGCGGGCGCCCUGGGCCUGGCCCCUUUCGGGCUCCGCUUCCUUCCCGUGGCUUCUGGAGUCUUCUAGAUGGUAGAAAAUUGCACGGUGGGUUGAUAUCUCUAUGUAAUCCUGACAUGUGGGCCUUUCUUCCUUAUUUCCUGAUAACCCCCUGCAGAAAUAGACAAACACCAAAACUCGUGGAAUUCUGUCAGAUAAAACCCUAAGUCUAGAUGUUGAUUUCAUUUGGAUCCUUUUCUUUGUUUAUUUGAUAAUUAAAUUUGAUACUUAAGGACCGUCAACAACCCGCAGAUAUGCUUGGCGUCCCACGAAACCUGAUCGAGCACUCCUUAAAUGUCUCGAAGACCGCAAGACCAAUCAAGCAAAAGCUGCGACGGUUCGCUCGUGACAAAAAGGAGGCUAUUAGGACAGAAAUAACACGGCUUCUAGUAGCCGGAUUCAUAAAAGAAGUGUAUCACCCCGAUUGGCUCGCCAAUCCGGUUCUUGUACGCAAAAAGAAUAAUGAAUGGAGAAUGUGCGUUGAUUACACUGAUCUCAAUAAACACUGUCCUAAAGAUCCUUUUGGUCUCCCUCGCAUCGACGAGGUGGUCGACUCAACGGCCGGAUGCGAACUCCUCUCUUUUCUAGACUGCUACUCUGGUUAUCACCAGAUCUCGCUAAAGGAGAACGAUCAGAUAAAAACAUCUUUCAUUACUCCUUUCGGCGCAUAUUGCUACACGACUAUGUCAUUUGGACUCAAAAACGCCGGAGCCACCUAUCAACGGGCCAUCCAGCAAUGCCUCCACGACGAGAUUCGUGAUGACCUCGUCGAGGCCUAUGUCGAUGACGUGGUCGUCAAAACAAGAGAUGCAAGCACCCUAAUCGACAACCUAGACCGAACCUUUAAGGCGCUUAAUAGAUACAAGUGGAAGCUUAACCCCAAGAAGUGCAUCUUCGGCGUUCCUUCUGGUCUACUGCUCGGCAACGUUGUCAGUCGCGACGGCAUAUGGCCGAAUCCCUCAAAAGUAAAAGCAGUACUCGACAUGCGACCACCUAAAAAUGUCAAAGAUAUUCAGAAGCUCACCGGGUGUAUGGCCGCGCUCAGCCGUUUCAUCUCAAGACUAGGAGAAAAAGGCCUCCCUUUCUUCAAACUCUUGAAGGCGUCGGAAAAGUUCUCCUGGACAGAGGAAGCCGACGCUGCGUUCACCCAGCUUAAGGCUUUCCUCACUUCCCCGCCUGUUCUUACAGCACCUUAGCCCAAUGAAGACCUACUCCUUUACAUUGCUGCAACCGACAGGGUUGUCUCCACGGCAAUAGUGGUCGAGCGAGAUGAGCCCGGUCACAUCUACAAGGUCCAGAGACCCGUUUACUUCAUAAGCGAAGUCCUAAACGAAUCCAAGGCCAGGUAUCCACAAAUACAGAAGCUCAUGUACGCUAUUCUAAUAACAUCAAGGAAGCUGAAGCACUACUUCGACGGCCAUCGAGUCUUGGUUACCACCAGUUUUCCUCUUGGGGACAUUCUGCGCAAUAAAGACGCCAACGGCAGAAUUGUAAAAUGGGCGAUGGAGUUAUGCCCAUUUUCCCUGGAAUUCCAAAGCCGCACCACAGUCAAGUCUCAGGCCCUGGUCGAUUUCAUUGCUGAAUGGACGGAUCUCAACGAGCCUCCCGUUCCCGACGUCUCCGACCACUGGUCAAUGUUUUUUGACGGGUCCUUGAACAUCAACGGCGCCGGCGCCGGGAUACUAUUCGUAUCACCUAACAAGGACAAACUGCGUUACGUCCUUAGGAUCCUUUUCCCGGCAUCAAACAACGUCGCCGAAUACGAAGCAUGCCUGCACGGCAUAAGGCUAGCCGUUGAGCUGGGAGUCAAACGCCUCUAUGUCUAUGGCGACUCUGCUUUAGUUAUCAACCAGCUCAACAAGGAGUGGGAUGCGACCCACGAGAAGAUGGAUCUCUACUGCAAAGAAAUUCGCAAAUGGGAAACCAACUUCUACGGCAUAGAGUACAUCCACGUGGUCCGGGAUAAGAACCAGGCAGCUGAUGCGUUGUCGAAGUUAGGGUCAUCUCGGGCCCCGAUCCCGCGGGGUGUUUUCGUCCAGGACAUCCAUGAGCCAAGCGUGGGCUCUGGCCCGGUCGAAAAGCAACCCACGGAAACCAUGCUCAUAGACGAUGCCACUCCGACAACCAGUGGUCGUGAUUGGCGUGCCCCGUUCAUCAAGUAUAUAUCGGAUGGUACGGGUUUCCAGGACAAAACAGAGAACGAACGCCUCAUUCGACGAUCAAAGAAUUACAUACUGGUGGAUGGCAAACUCCUGCGAAAAAAUGCAAGCUCCGAGGUACUACUCAAGUGCAUAUCUCAAGAUGAUGGCAUCAAACUCCUCGAAGACAUACAUGCCGGAUCCUGCGGCAACCACGCUGCAUCCAGAACCCUGGUCAGGAAGGCUUUCCGAGCAGGAUUUUAUUGGCCAACCGCGGUCAACGACGCCGAAAAACUGGUCCGACACUGUGAGGGGUGCCAGUUCUUCGCUAAAAGGACCCACGUACCUGCUCACGAGAUUCAAACUAUCCCAUCAUCCUGGCCUUUUGCCUGCUGGGGACUCGACAUGAUCGGGCCAUUUAAACCGGCCCCUGGUAACUUCAAGUUCGUCUUUGUAUUAAUCGACAAGUUCUCAAAAUGGAUCGAAUACAUGCCACUGGUAAAAGCGACCUCCGAGAAGGCUGUGGAAUUCCUCAGUCAAAUCAUACACAGAUUCGGGAUCCCGAACAGCAUAAUCACCGACCUGGGUACUCAGUUUACUGGCACUGCAUUUUGGGACUUCUGCGAUGACAGGGGCAUAGUCAUAAAAUACGUGUCAGUAGCACACCCACGGGCAAAUGGUCAGGUCGAGCGUGCGAACAGAAUGAUCAUUGACGCCCUCAAGAAAAGGCUGUACACCGAGAACGACAAAGCACCUGGUCGAUGGAUGAAAGAGUUACCAGCUGUGGUCUGGGGCCUCCGAACCCAGACUAGUCGAAACACGGGAGUGUCACCCUACUUCAUGGUCUACGGCGCCGAGGCAGUCCUACCGUCUGACAUAACCUUUAGUUCUCCUAGGAUUGAAAAUUUCGACCACUCAACAGCCGACAGCGCCAGAGAACUCGAAAUCAACUGCAUGGAGGAAAAGCGUCUGAAUUCUUGUCUCCGAACAGCAAAGUAUCUUGCGGCAGUCAGGCGGUACCAUAACAGGAACAUAAAGGACCGUUCUUUCAUGGUCGGCGAUCUGGUGCUCAGGUGGAAAACAAGCCAGGAAGGAAUGCACAAGCUAUCCACUCCCUGGGAGGGACCUUUUGUGGUCGCCGAAGUCACACGACCUACAUCCUACAGAUUGGUGUAUCGAGACGGAACACGCGUGCCUAACUCUUGGCACAUAGACAAACUGCGCCGAUUUUAUCCAUAAGUUCCAGUAACUUUUGCUUGUAAGUCUCUUAUAGUUGGCAGUAAUAAAAGUUUUUCUUUUUUGGCUAUACUUUGUUUACACGCAGAGUUUUCGGCAAAGAACAACAAUCUCCUCUGCGACGGAAAAUCUUCACGACCAUGAAUCAAACACAGUGACACGUCACUCAGACAACUUCACAGCGCUCAAAAUAGUAGUCAUGACAAAUUCAAAACUUUAUUACAAACUUUACAUACAAAGUUUACAAUAAACACCCUGACGGGCGGACACUAGUCUACUCCUACAGGCUAUCCUGCUGGCCAACUGCUCGGGCUGAUCACCCGCCUGGCCUUGCUGCCCGGACGAAGGGGUCGGGGCCACCGGCGCCUGGCUGGUCGAGACCGUAGGCGUCGACCGCCCAUCUCCCGCAAUAGACGCGCCUGACAGCUCCCUGGCCGACCUGUCUGAACCUGGCUGGUCGGGGGGAGUGGCCGUUCCGCAUAGAUUGAUGUCGCCGAUCACCGUCGACGACAAGUCCAGCAGACCACCCCGAAGCUCGUCCGCCUCCUGCGGGCCGACCUCCUUGGGGUACCCCUUCUCCAGCCUGGUCAAAUCGACCAGGGGGUAGUGGGCGCGUACCAUGCUAAGGAUGUGCGCACCAGCAAACUCCCCAGCGUCCUUCACGAACUGCUGAAGCCAGUCCCACGCCCGUUGCGCCUUUUCGACUGGCGUCAAUUUCGGCGCGCGGGGCUGGCUCUCCGGGAGCUCGGGGCUGAUCAAGUCCAGGACCGGGGACACUUCUUUCCAGAUCUUACAACAAUUGACCUUCCAGGAGUCCCGGUCCCUGACCAGCUCGUCCAGGUGCUUCUUUGCGUUCACCUUGAGCACUGCAAGUCAAGCAAGAUGUUAGAUUCAGUGUAUCAAAAAUAAAAGAGCGAUAAACGGUGAAUAACGGAGGCGGUGCGUAUUACCACACAACUCCCGGUCCUUCCGGCUCAGCUCCUCCUCUGCUCGGCGUCCGGCCUCCAGUGCUCCGGAAAGCUCUUGGCUGAGCCGCUCUUUCUCCUGCCGAAGGCACGCGACCUCCUCCUCCAUGUCUACACGAAUAAUUCCCAGAUCAGCAAAUUCAAAUAACGCGGUCACAUACAGCCGCCUAAAAGUACGAGACUAACCUUCUCGCAGCCGAUACUGGUCGGCUAAGCGUCGGGUAAGCUCGAGACUGUGCUCUUCCUGAGCGCUCAUCCCGGCUACCUUCUCCCCAAUCUCCGACCGCAGACGGUCCACCUCUGCGGACAGGGCCUUAUUCUCGGCCACAAUACCUUCUAUUUGGUCGAAGCACCUCUUUCGGUACUUCGCCAUUUUCAUUGCGCCCUACACGAAAAACAUGUGUCGACCCAACAAUACAACAUAACAAGUGUCGAACAGCGCUAAGGAUCACUUACCUUGACUUCAUCCACGAGUCGCUUGGCCGCGCGCUCCACUCUAUCGGCCUCCUCCGUCUCCGCGAGCUCCUCAUGCCCGAUGAAGUGGUCCCCGCGUUGGCGCCACACAUACACGUGCUGGCGGCCAUCACGGGGGCGACCUUCAAUUUCCUCCACCUCGUCGUCGGAGGAUGCCCGGGCUUCCUCGUUCGCUGCACCGCCACCAGUCGUGGUCGAAGGCAUCACCGGCCCCUGGGCCAGGCCCGGGGCGCCUGCGGACGAAGAGGCCCCUGCCCGGGGUGGCGUUGGGACCCUCCUCUCUUCGGCAGGAGGAGGGGUUGGUGCUCUAUCUUCCCCUUCCGCGACGCUACUCGGGGGAGCGGUCCUUCCUGCCUCCCCAUCCCUCGGCGGAGUGCUCGCCGCGGCACUCGCCGGGGCAGACUCUCCCUCGAUGCCUGUAGCAGCAGCUGCCGCCGCAGGCUGAUCUGUGGUCUGCGGCGCCGCAUCUUCAGCGGCGCAAGCAGGCUCGGCCACCCUUUGUCCGGCGGCGUGGUCGGGGUUGACGUCUGACGCCGCGCUAAAAAUCAAAGCAGCAUUUUCAGCAAAAAAAAUGCCAAAAUACAUAAGUCGAACACUUACAGAUCCGAUCGACGGUGGGUCGCGGUGAACCUCCUCCGAGCCCGGCCGGUUGGCGCUUGGGCUCCCAUCUCUGUAACGCGCGGCGAAGGAGGAUCGCUGGCCACCCGACCAGUGGUGGACGGCGCACUGUCCGGACGGCUACGAGGCCGGCGGACUAGCGACGGUGCGGCUUCCUCCUCCUCGUCAUCGUCGUCGGUAAUCCGGACGAGCCGACGGCGCUUCGGUGCUUGGCUGCUCUCCGCUGGCAGCGUCGCCGCAGGCAAAGGAUCCGCCGCCAUUGGCCUUUUCCCCGCCACUCUCUCCUCGGUGGUCGGGAUGGGACGGGCCUGGUCCUCCUCGCUGCUGGUGUACCGAGUACACCGAGCGUCCUCCUCUGGCGGCUCCUCCACUGCAGGAUUUUCCAUCCCGGGUGCAAGUGACACAUACACCGCGCACCGAUCCACAUCUCCGAUCUGCAAGACGUAACAAAAAUAAGUCAGCAGCAGACAAUAACGAAUGCUAAAGAAAAAUAAUCAGUAAGAUACCUUAGGUGCUGGUCGCCCCAACUUGAAGGCUUGCACCCGAUCACUACCACGGACGAAGCCCCCAUCCGCGAAGUUGAACAGCUCGUUCAACAGCUGCUGCACCUCCGCCUUCUCCAAGACUUCAGGUCGCAUCCUGGUCGGGUCAAGGCUUCCGGCGUACUCGUACGCCGAGUGCACCCUCUUCUGGCAGGGCAUCACCCGACGACAAAUGAAGUUGCCGACCACGCCAAGCCCGUCCAGGCGCGACCAGUCGAUCAGCUUCAUGAGGUCCGCCACUUGACCGUCGAACUCUGGGCGGUCGGUCCAGCUCACCCACUUCUCAGGGAUGUAUCCCACGUCGCAAAACGUGGAGAUGCCCGGUUCCUCCCUGAUGUAGAACCACUUCCUGUACCAUUCGGUCAGGGAAGUGUUCCAUGGACAGUGCAGGUAGCGGUUUUUCAUUCCGUCGCGAAGGUUGAGGUAUACUACACCAGCAACCUUGGAGCCUCCAACUGCUCCCUUCUUUCUUAAACAAAAAAGAUAGCGGAAAAGGUCGAAGUGCGGCUCUAUGCCAACAUAGGCUUCGCACAAAUGGAUAAAAGUAGAAAUAAGAAGGAUUGAGUUCGGGUGCAGAUUGCAAAUCCCGAUCUCAUAAUAAAGAAGUAGACCCUGAAGAAGGGAUGAACAGGAACCCCAAAACCCCUCUUAACGAAGUCUUCGAACACCACGAUCUCACCGGCACGGGGGUCGGGGAAGCUCUCUCCUUCUGGCGCUCUCCAGCCGCCGAGCUCUGGGCCGUGCAGAAGCCCCAUAUCGACGAGGUCACCAAGAGACUUGGCGGUGCUGUGGGACUUCUUCCACUCCUUGGCCAUCAGCUCGGCCCUCUUCUUGGAGUCGCUCUUCGCCAUUGGAGUCGAGGAAGUGGAUUCGAGUUUGGAAGGUGUAGAUGAUUGAAGGAGGUAAGAGUGGAAGGCUUGAAGGCAAUGGCAGGAUAAGCAGUAAAGGGGGAACUGUCGAGCUCUUAUAACCCACAACUUCACCCCUCCCACUUCCCGUAUUUUCGGGAAGUGGGCGGGCCAUACGGCGGAUGCGGCGUUUCGGUUUUCAAUGAUUAUCGACAAUUAAUGCGGCGGAGUUUUCGUACAAAUUGAUGGUUUCCUUUUCUCAAACCGCGCAAAGGGCGGCUGUACAGUUGCCAGGCGCAACUUUUCAUGCAUCCAUCUGACAUCCCGUCAGAAGGUCUCGUCACGUCAACUCUUUGUGUGAAAAUUUUCAAAACAAGCAGACAAAACUGGUAGGGAGUCAACAAUCCAGGGACUGUACCGACCACCGAGCACUUGAUGCUCGGGGACUGGUCGCCCAGUCUAUCGGUUCGGAACUUCAAAGACUGCACCGACCACCGAGCACUUGAUGCUCGGGGACUGGUCUCCUAGUCUAUUAGCUCGGAACUUCAAAAUAUCGCACCGACCACUAAGCGCUCGAUGCUCGGGGACUGGUCGUCCAGUAUAGCAACGCAGAAUUCUAAGGAGUGCACUUGGUGCUUGGGUCCUGGUGGUCAUACUAUUGUACACCCGGGGACUGGUCGAUCAGUCUAUUCAAUUGCAGACGGACUGGUAAAUUUAAUUUUUUAGACCUUGCUACAAGGCUCAUACUUCGCCUUCCAGCAAGCUCGGGGACUACAUCGGUACGAUGCAUCUGGCGAUGCAUCUCAGUUACAGAAUUUCUUUGAGGACUUUUUUUUGACCCUGGCACCACGUACCUACGUCACCUACUACCAGGCUCGGGGACUAAGUGGGCACACUUCACCUUGCGGUGAAUAUGCUUGCUUUUUUGAGGUUUAUACUUUUCUUAAAAAUAAAGUGGGCACACUUCACCAGGAAAGAAAUCUUUUUUAAUUUAGAGCACCAUGCAUUCUUCGAACAACCAGCUUCUUCGAUGUCAACGUUGAUCAACUGCCUUUUGAGUUGGUCAAAGUACCGUUGCAACUAUUUGGGCGACUUUUUUGUUUACUGAAGACGUCAAGCCUCACUGAUCGAAGAAGCUCAAGACGGCGUGUUACAUCACAAUACAUGGUGCUCGGGGACUAGCUGUGGGGGUAUAAACCCCUAUACCCUUACGGCUAGACUUGGGCCAGGAGGCUUGGCCCAUUACGAGACAAGCUCAAGGUUUGAUCCGACGGCUUGGAGUUUCGCGCAAGGAAACAAGAUGUGGAGAUCAAGCAGGAUUCUAGUCGGUUAGAAUAGGAAUUGAUAUCAAACUAUCUAUGGCAAUUGUAACCGACUAGGAUUAGUUUCCAGAUCUGUAACCCUGCCCUCCGGACUAUAUAAGGAGAGGCAAGGGACCCCCCUAGGACAUCAGAUUCUCUCAACACAAAUCAAUACAACCAGACGCAGGACGUAGGUAUUACGCCAACUCGGCGGCCGAACCUGGAUAAAAAGCUUGUCCGGGUCUUGCGUCACCAUCGAGUUCGUAGUUUGCGCACCGUCUACCGAUAAACUACUACCGUGGGUAUACCCCAAGGUAGACUGCCGACUAGCUUUCGUCGACACUUAUCAAACCAAAGCUACUACAAUAACAAACAAAAAGCGCAACACAAGGUGCAACAUAAAAAAACUAAUGUAAGAUCUCAUGCAGUAGUAUUGCAACAUGGUGAAAACGACAUGAAACAUGAAAAGAUGGAAACCACUCAAUAAUCACCGUUUAGUGCUGCAAUAUUUGUAAAAGAUAAUUUCAAUAGUUGAAAAUUCGCUAUUGCAACAAUCUCAACAAUAGUACUCUCUUUCUGCAACACAUGAUUCACACCUAUUGCAACAUUUGAAAAUCAUUUUUUACAGCAUCUCCAAAAAUCUAUUACAAGAGAGAAACAGCAAAAAAACAUACAAAAUAGUAAGGGGAUGGUUCCGAGGUGCAGGAUAUGAUCCCAGAGCUCAUCGGAACCCUAUCCAAUGUUGUGUCCCUCAUAUCCAGAGAAUGAGGAGGAGGCUUAGAUCUAGAAAAUGAGCAUAAUGAUGAUGAUGAUGAUGAUGAGGAGGAGGGCUCAGAUCCAGUAGAGGAGUAGGAGGUGGAGGAGGAAAAGGGCUCAAAUCGAGAGAGAAAACCGGCCUACCUCGUUCAAGCCACCGUCGUCGUCCUUGUCUCUUGGUAGGGAAUUGAGAGUGAGAUCGCAUGGAAGUCGUGGAGGAGGAAGAGAGAGAGGGAGCGCUGAUGAGCGACGCAGGACGACAGUGAAAUGGCAUGGUGUGCGGUGUGUGACGUCUGUCUGUGGGAGUGAGCGGUGGAGAAAAAGAUAAGGAGAAGUGAGGGAGUCAGCAUAGAGCACAUAUGGGUCGGGUUAGUGCAGGGUUGCAUGCGUCCGUGAUGGAAUAAAGAGUGGGAGCGUGUGGGAUCGGUGCGUCCGGCCGCACGGACAGUCGGUCUAUAUCAUUAUUGCUUUUUUAAAUCUAAUUAGUAUAUAAUUAAAUACUAAUUACUAUAGUUACAAAUAUGCUAAAUAUCUAUUAAACUUUAGUUCUUCUAUAUGUUAAAAGGGUGAUAUAUCUAACUCCUCAUUCUUAGCUCAUUCGGUUGUGUAGGAUAUGUCCAUGUACAUUUUCUGUUUUCCUUCUUGUGUUGUACUCCACGGCUGCAUGUUGACAUGCCGGUUAGUUAGGGGUUGCGGCUCAUUACUUGUAACACAAUCUAGGUUGUACCCUACCGGUAUAUAACAUGUACCCGAGUACCUAUGAAAGGUAUCUCGUUCCAUCUACUUUCACAUGGUAAUCAGAGCCUUUCUCCACACGGAAUUCCGCAAUGGCGUUUACUUCUUCCUCCUCCGCUGCUCCUGCUGUUCCCUCCAUCGCCGGGUUCAUUCCGGUGAGCGAGAAGCUGACGCGCACUAACUUCGCAUCCUGGAAGGCGCAGGUGGUGUCUGCCCUGAAAGGUGCCCAGCUCUUCAAGUACGUCAAUCCGGCGGUGAAACCGCCGCCCGAGUUCCUUGUCAAGAAGGAGGACGACAAGGAGCAGUCUGUGACCAACCCUGACCACGACCAGUGGGUCGCCAAGGACCACUUGGUCCUGAAUUUUAUUCUCUCUAAUCUGUCGAAAGAGAUUUUGGCUCAGGUUAAUGACGAGGUCACCACUGCUGGGGCCUGGACGACGAUCCAGGGCCUCUUCACCGCGCAGUCCCGCGCGUGCAUCAUCGCCACCAGGAUGGCCCUGGCCACUACCUCCAAGGGGUCAUCUACUGUGGCCGAGUACUAUGUCAAGAUGAAGGGGCUCGCAGAUGACAUGGCAUCUGCUGGGCGUCGGCUUAAAGAUGAUGAGCUGAUCUCCUACAUUCUCACCGGGCUAGAUAGUGACUUCAACCCGGUGGUGACUGCGGUGUCAAACCGCGUUGAGCCCAUCUCCAUGACCGAGUUGUACACUCAGCUGGUCAGUCACGAGCAGCGUUUGGAGAUGCAAUUGGCGGCGGACAGCAGUCCUCCGUGAACCUUGCUGCCAAAUGGAAUCGCGGCGGCAACACCAACAACUUUAACAACUUUUCGCGUAGAAAAGGGGGCUGUGGCGGGUUCGUUCGCGGUGGCAAGAGCGGCCGUGGUGGCAGUCGCCCUCCUGCCGCACCGUUCCAGGCUGGGGUCUUCUGCCAGCUGUGCAAGAAGGAGGGUCAUACCGUGAUCAACUGCUUCAAACGGUACGAUGCCACCUUCGUCCCGCCCUCGCAAAAGUCUGCUUCGUCCGCGAUGACAUCCUCCUAUGGUGUAGAUACCAACUAGCAUCUUGACUCAGGAGCCACUGAUCACAUCACUGGCGAACUCGAGAAACUCUCCAUGCACGACCGCUACCAUGGUGGUGAACAAGUUCAUGCCGCCAACGGAUCCGGUAUGGAAAUUUGUCACAUCGGUCACAGUACUUUACAUUCCCGAACUAGAGAUAUUCAUCUAAAUAAUAUCCUUAAUGUUCCUUCUGCUCAUAAAAACUUGUUAUCUGUUAAUCGUAUUGCUAAGGAUAAUAGUGCCUUUUUGGAAUUUCAUCCAAACCAUUUCUUUGUUAAGGAACUAGAGACGAGGAAAACACUUCUCACAGGCCGAUGUGAAGGCGGCCUUUACCCCUUGAAGUCUUCAUCAAAUAAAAUCAGGAAUAAGCAAGCCUAUGGUGUUGCGAAGCCGUCAACAUCCCUGUGGCAUUCUAGACUAGGACAUGCAUCCACUCGAGUAGUUCAGCAUCUACUUAGUCGAAACAAUUUACCUUUCGUUAGGGAUUCAGAGAAUAAAACUGUAUGCGAUGCAUGCCAAUGUGGCAAGAGCCAUCAAUUACCCUACUCAUUGUCUUCUCGUGUUUCUUCCGGCCCUUUGGAUCUCAUUCACUCGGAUGUGUGGGGGCCGGCACCAAGCUCUGUUGGGCAUCAUUGUUAUUAUGUUAGCUUCAUUGAUGACUACAGUAAAUUCACUUGGAUCUACCUUCUGCGUUUUAAAUCGCAAGUCUUCCAAUGCUUUACUGAUUUCUAGAAACUCAUAGAACGGCAGCUUAACAGAAAGAUACUCACUAUCCAAACCGACUGGGGAGGCGAGUAUCAGGCCUUGCAAUCCUAUUUUAAGCGCAUAGGCAUAGGCCAUAGAGUCUCGUGCCCCCACACUCAUCAGCAAAAUGGGUCUGCUGAGAGAAAGCAUUGCCACAUUGUUGAGAUGGGCCUUUCCCUCCUUGCUCAUGCAACUGUACCCCUGAAAUUCUGGGAUGAUGCCUUCUUAACUGCGGUCUUCAUUAUCAAUCGACUGCCCACUCUAGUUCUAAACAAUGACUCACCCUUCUUCCGCCUUUUCAAUACUAAGCCAGACUACACAUUCCUCCGUACUUUUGGGUGCGCUUACUGGCCGAAUCUGAGGCCAUAUAACACAAAGAAACUUCAGUUCAGAUCCAAACAAUGUGUCUUCCUUGGCUACAGUAAUCUUCAUAAAGGGUACAAGUGUCUAGACCCUGCUAGUGGCCGGGUUUACAUUUCCCGCGAUGUCCUUUUUGAUGAGAAAAUCUUCCCAUUUGCCUCCCUCCAUCAUAACGCUGGCGCCCAACUCUGAUCGGAGCUAGCACUUCUACCCGAUGUCUUGCAAAAUCCAUCAUCUAGUUUUGGGGAUGUAUUAGUGCAUGAUCGGUCUGAUGUUUUUCCUAAUACAACUGAUGCUUCAGCAAGUUCUAGCUUGCCUUGUGACCCUGCAGGAAAAAAUGCAGAUGCAGGAGGCGGUAACGCGAGUGCAAGCACCUGUGAUUUCAUGUGUCGCGUGCAUGGAGACAACACGGUUGUCGAGAUUGAUCCCCAGGAGCAGCACUCGACAUCAGGCGCCGGCGUAUCCGUCUCGGGAUCGGUGGCGAAUCCGAUUAUGCUGUCGCCAUCAACCGCGCCAGCACCCGCCGAACAGCACCCUGGAUCUUCUGCGGCGUCCUCAUCUGCCUCUCCCACGCCAGACAGCACACAUCCGCCACAGCUAGAUCCCAUCGGUGGGGAAGUUGCUGCCGCGGCGCCUGGCAGCGGUUCUGCUGCCCUAGAACCUCGAUCCCCUGUGGAUCCUGCUCCUGUGGCCUCACCUGUGCUUACUGUCCCGUCGGGCCCUGUUACUCGGCUGCAACAGGGUAUCUCCAAGCCCAAGCGAUUUUCUGAUGGCACUGUCAGAUGGUGCAUGUCUACUGAUGUCAGUGCAGAAGAGUCACCCAGUAUUGCUGAAGCCUUUGGUAACAAAGAUUGGGUUGGCGCCAUGGAUGCUGAGUUUCAUGCCUUGCAGCGCAAUAACACCUGGCAUCUUGUCCCGCGGCCACGGGGCAAAAAUAUCAUUGGUUGCAAGUGGGUUUACAAAAUAAAGCGUAAAGCAGAUGGCUCCAUUGAUCGGUAUAAAGCACAGCUGGUUGCAAAAGGUUUCAAACAGCGCUAUGGCAUUGAUUAUGAGGACACCUUCAGUCCUGUUGUGAAAGCUGCUACUAUUCGACUCAUUUUGCCUCUUGCAAUUUCUUGUGGAUGGAGUCUUCGUCAGCUUGAUGUUCAAAAUGCAUUUCUUCAUGGCAUCUUGGAAGAGGUCUUUAUGCAACAGCCUCCUGGAUAUGAGAGCAAGAGUCACCCUGAUUUUGUUUGCAAGCUUAACAAAGCGUUAUACGGCUUGAAACAAGCCCCACGUGCGUGGUAUGCCCUGUUGUGUGCUAAGCUGGUUGCUCUGGGAUUUCGUCCAUCCAAGACUGACACCUCUCUGUUCUUCUAUCAAAAGGGGCAGCAGUGUAUGUAUAUUUUAGUCUAUGUUGAUGAUAUAAUUGUUGCUAGCUCCUCUCCAGCCGCCACAGCUGCUCUUCUCGCUGAUCUACACUCGGAGUUUGCACUCAAGGAACUAGGCGAUCUGCAUUUCUUUUUGGGCAUUGAAUUCAGCGUACACUUGGUGCUCUUGUGCUCUCGCAAGGGUGCUAUGCCAUGGAUGUUCUGGCUCGGGCUGGCAUGAAGAAUUGUAAACCUGUGGAUACCCCGUUGUCCAUCACCACCAAACUCAGUCUUGAGGAGGGAGAGAAGCUCAGUUCAGAUGAUGCAACCAAGUACAGAAGUUUGGUUGGAGCACUACAGUAUCUUACAUUGACAAGACCAGAUAUCGGUUUUGCGGUCAAGAAGGUCUGUCAAUUCUUGCAUGCUCCCUCUACAGCCCAUUUUAGCGUUGUCAAGAGGAUUCUGAGGUUCGUUCGUGGGACCUGGAAUUCGGGGAUGAAGAUUGUUCGGUCGGACUCAACUCUGGUCAGUGCGUUCUCCGAUGUCGAUUGGGCUGGGUGUGUAGAUGACAGGCGAUCCACUGGAGGCUUUGCCGUGUUCCUUGGACCCAAUUUGGUGUCGUGGAGUGCUAGGAAACAGCCUACAGUCUCUCGCUCUAGCACUGAGGCGGAGUAUAAGGCUUUGGCCAAUGCAACUGCUGAAGUUAUGUGGGUACAGAAACUUUUAACCGAACUAGGAGUUCACCAUCCUCCAGCAGCGCGCCUCUGGUGUGACAACCUUGGUGCUACUUAUCUUUCAGCAAACUCAGUGUUUCAUGCUCGUACAAAACACAUUGAGAUUGAUUUUCAUUUUGUUCGAGAGCGUGUAGCCCAGAAGCUUCUGGAUAUCAUAUUCAUACACACCGGUGAUCAAGUAGCGGAUGGGUUCACAAAGCCUCUCAGUAUUGGCAAGAUGAAGGAAUUCAGGGCCAAUCUCAACCUUGUAAGUGGCUGAGAUUGAGGGGUAGUGUUAAAAGGGUGAUGUAUCCAACUCCUCAUUCUUAGCUCAUUCGGUUGUGUAGGAUAUGUUCAUGUACAUUUUCUGUUUUCCUUCUUGUGUUGUACUCCACGGCUGCAUGUUGACAUGCCGGUUAGUUAGUUAGUUAGGGGUUACGGCUUAUUACUUGUAACACAAUUUAUGUUGUACCCUACCAGUAUAUAACAUGUACCCGAGUACCUAUGAAAGGUGUCUCGUUCCAUCUACUUUCACACUAUAAACAAGACCGAAGGGAACAAAGCGAGAGCACCCAAACUAUAGACAAACAUGGAGUGCUAAAGUUGGAGAGAAGAUAAUAAAAAGCUGUAAUGUACACUAAGCUUUCUGCAGGUAUCUACAUAUCUCUUGUACCUAAGCUACGAGUACUAAUUAAGAGAGCCCUGUGCCACAAAAAUUCGCCGCGCUAAAAGGCUGGGCCAAACUCGCCGGCUGGCCGGCUGCUCCUUCAAACGAACCAGAGGCCAGCCAAAGGAUAACCAAGUAAAAACAGGCGAGGUAAAAAAAAACACACACACACACAGGUAGACUCUAGACUAUUCCUAGUACGCACGCAGCUAAUAGCUUUACUUACGUCUAUAAUAAGAAGUGGAAAAAAAAGAACAACUAGGUAGCUACUAGAAUGGCGCCGUAGCGACGUCCCUGUCGUCGUCCAUGGAGCGCCGCCGUCGACCACGGCGGCCGCCUUUGCUCCCGCCGCCGCAACAGCCUUUGUUGGAGCCGGCGGAGGAGCAGCAGCAGCAGCAGCCGAGCUCGACGUCGUCGUCGGACGAGGAGUCGAUGGAGCUGGACUUGCGGACGGUCGCCGUCGUCAUCUGCACGGGCUUGAGGCCCUCGGUGAAGAUGCGGAUCGCCUCCUCCUCCGUCUUGGUGCUCACCACGUACAGCGCCGCCUCCUGCAACACAUGUACACAAAACACUCACUUGGUUAAUUACGUUAAUUUAGUGUUGUUAACAAACGUAUAUACGUAUAUGGACGUAUUUAUAUAUAUAUAUCGUGCACGUAUUAUGGGCUAUACGUGUAAAUUAAAGUAGGAACGCAAAAAGACGUCACACGGUCGUCGUCGUCGUCGUCGUUGUCACAAGUUGAUGCGUACGUAUGUACGCAGAGGGUCGUCUAGUCGCGGUACACGAAUAGUCCAUUCUGCGACGUGUUGUAACAGCACACAGAAGGAAUAUUAAAUUAUUGCAAUGUGCCGGCCGGGCACGUCUCUGUCGGUCACAGUUGCACCCGUUAACGUGUGGCCACAGUCGGCCGCAUGGGGUACACGUACGAGUACGACGUUGAGGUUGCGUGACGGAGACCCCCGUACGUCAUGGACACGUGUGCACGUCAAUCAUGCGUGUAUCAGUGCCCGUUGUCAUAUGUUUCGUUUCUUUUUUAUACAAGAAAUAAAGAAGAAUAAAAUUUAUGGCAUGUGGCGUUCUAAAUUACAAAUCAUUUUUUUGGCAUUAAAGUAUCUCAAAUUUAACCAAAUUUAUAUUACAAUACCAAUCAAGUAUUAUUAGAUUUUUCAUUGAUUAUAUUUUCAUUAUAUAUCUACUUAAUAGCAUAAAUCUUUAUAUUUUUUUCCAUAAUUUUAUUUAAACUUGAAAUGCUUUGGCUCUGACUUAUAAUUUAGGACAAAAGAGUACAAGAUAUACUAAAAAUUUAAAAUAAAAUAUUAAAUAAAACAAAUGACUUAUAACUCCUUUUUAACUAUAUAUAGAGAGAUUUUAUACUUGUUGAUAUUUUAAACCUCAAGUUUUUGACGCAAAAGUUUUAAACCUCAAGUUAUUGAAUAAAACAAAUAGCACGUACAUGUAGCUCUUCUUUAACUAUAAAAAGAGAUUUUAUGCUCAUAAUAUUUUAAAUCUGGUGGUAUACAAUAAUAAUAGAUAUAUAAUUAGUAUGCAUUUAAAUAGUUUGUCUAAUUUGAAGGAAGUUAAUUCACCUAAAAUACAUUUUAAUUUAUAGUAUAAAAUUUUGAACACAUCAAUACAUUAUAUUUCUGGAUACCUUAAAUGUCCUACAAGCAGUAAAACAUUAAGGCUUUUAAUUAGGCAUUACCUAAUAUUUGUUCAGUGCAUUUUGUGGAUGGAGAAAGAGGUAGGUGAGUCACUACAGGGAAAGAUGGAGUGGUGCAAUGGAACCUAACCACGUGGAAAGGACUGCCUAAUUGAAUAGGUUUUCAAGAACAGUGACACUCCAAUUAUUUGGGACUUAUUAUAUAUUUUACUAUUAUUAUUAGUUAUCAUAGUAGUACUUAGGAAAGAAAAUAUAUAAAUUCAUAACAGUUCGCAAGCGAGGAAACUUUGUAUACCUAUUAUAUAUUUCGAAUAUGAAUUAUCAAAUAUGCGUGCUCGACAAUGUUUUUAUACGAGAGAAAAAAAAAGGGACUUUCGAUGCAUGUAUGGAGGGCCGGGAAGAUGCAUGUAUGUACAAAUCAAGAGGAAAUGUGAUACACUCGUGUACUUCCUUAUAUAAUUAUAACAAAGUCUUGGAUUUUUUAGAAAUUUGAUAUCACACAUUAGUUUAUGAGGGCAGGGGAAUUGCAUUCAUCACCGUCAGAGAGAGAAAAGGGAAAAUAAAAUCGCCGAGAAAGAUAUGCAAGUGUUCUGGGCUAAAAUAGUCUCUCACAAAUCAGAAAUGUAUGAUAUAUACUUAUAUAGAUAUAAUGCACUAUAUACUAUAUUCAUACGUGUGUGCUUACCCUUGCGAACUUGAUCUGGUCGAGGGUCAGCGUCUUGGGCUCCCACUCUAUGGACGACAUCCGCCCCGCCGGCGCCUCCUCCACCUGCCUGCUGCUCGUCGUCGCCGUCGUCGUUACCGCCAGCGCCGCCAUGGAUGCCGCCGCAGCAGCCUCUCUUCCUCUUCGAUGUCGGUUGUAUAUAUACAAAUCCGAAAAAUACUCCAAGCCUUUUUUUUAAAAAAAAAAAUACGACGUCGUCGUCGACCUCUCCUGUGUCGAUUUUCGAAAUUUCUACUAGCUAGCUCUGCCUCUGCGCCCUGCGUUCGUGAACGAUGGCCUGCAGGUAUAUAUACCAGGGCAGGGGGGAGACCAAGCGGGGCGGACGUGUCGCGGCCGUACGGGCGGGCGGUCGGUCUCCCACGUGGCGGCCGCGGAGUGGGGAGGGGGGUCGCGCGGCCACGCGGCGCCCUGCUGCAUGCAUGCGUCGUGGUCGUCGCCCCCGGCUUUGUUGUUGCGUCCGUCCGUGCCGGUCCGAGGUGCCCUGUAGACUGUAGUACGUGUGGCUGUGGUUUGCAGUCAGGUGCGGGCGGGACACGUAGCGGGGGGUGGGUCAGCCGACUCGCCCAAUCGUGGCUCGCCGCGUCGCCCGCGCUUGGCUUUGACGGGAUCGGGCGCCGGCGCAUGCAUGCAUUGAUAUUGUUGCGUUUGCGUGCCGGGCCUGGACUCGCCACGCCACGCCACCGGCCGGCACCAGGCGGUCUCGUUAACGGCCGGUGGUUAUGUUCAUUCAUAUGCUACGUACCUCGUGCGUGGGUGCGGCCGUGCUCCCCGUCCAUACCGCAUGCAUGCCGACCGGCCGGCCAUGGUCCUACGUACGUGCCACGUCUUUUUUUUUUUUGAACGUAAUGGCAGGAGCUCUGCCUUUCAAUUAAGAGAGGAAAAAAGAGUUUAUGUACACAAAGGUCUUGGAGGGUAAAAAGAAACAGUUACAGAUUUUGCUUAUAUACUACCCCUCCAAUUUAGUGCUCUCUUCCUUUGCUCGAUAUCCUCUUUGGUCCUUGCAGCCACUUGCAUUGCCGAUUUAUGGACGUUGUUGAAAAUUCUUCUGUACGUGCCACGUCUUGUACGUGGAUCCAAAGCAUGCAUGCAUGCAUGGAUGGCUUGCUCUCUAGCUCGAUCGACUAGUGCAAUUCGAUCACGAUGAUGAUGACAGAGAGAAUGGGGAGGCCAAGAUGUUGUGGUGCGCUAUUCCCUGUCUCGAACCGUACCGUCGUCGUCGCACGUGUGCACGCUGGGGUACGGUUUGUUAACCGUUGCUGCGCGCGACACGCUUGCGCUAGCUGCAUCACACACGUGACAUGCAUGACGCGGCGCAAUGUAAUGCAUACCGUAACGUAAAGUACUCCCUCCUUCCAUAAAUAAAUACACAUCUUCCUUCCCAAUAAAUAAAUACACAUCUUCCUUCCCAAAAAAGAAAUGCUAAUGGUCAACCGGUUGAUUUGGAGCUUUCAAUCAACCUAAUUCUUGGCCAUUUGAUCCGCCGAGGCACCGCCUUUGCCAAGCAUGCUGGCCACCGAUACUAAUGUCGUGGCCUGGUCCAGUGCACGUCUCCGAGCAUUUAUCCUGUAUUAACAUGCAGUCGUCGUCUACACAUCGCAAUUUUGCAAACUAGCUAUAGUGUGAUGCAGAUCAACUUUCCAGUUCGUUUGCUUUCAUCUUUUCAGUUCGUUUGUUUUCAUCUAGAUAAUUUGUUCUAAAAUUUAUGAAUAAUUUGAUGAUAUUUGUGAAUAAUUUGACAUAUAUUUCUAUGCUGCCUGGAAUACAUAGAAAUAAUUUGUAAUUUUUUUUUAAAAAAAAAUUGGCAUAUAUUUGUGUUAUUCUUAGAUUACAUCACUGUGUCCAAUAAAUUACACUGAAGAAAUUAUUAUAAAAAUAAUAAUAAGUGGUGUAAAUAUAACUAUAAGACAGUGUAAAUACAUGUAAAAAAUUCAGUUGAUGGAAAAAGCUAAAUCAAUCGGUUAUUGGCUAGACAUCUCCUUCCAAAAAGCUAAACUUUUUUAGCUUGAUGACUAAAAAUAUAUCGAAUAAAUCAAUAUUUGUAUCUACAAAUAAAUAUAUUGUAAAAUAUAUUUUAUACUUAAUCUAAUAAUAUAUAUUAUGUAAGAUAAAUAUUAGUUUAUUUUUGGAGGGAGUACGUCGCGCAGGCCCGAGGGUCGAUCUGCGAUAUCGAGACACCAGAGGUACCUACAUGCGAAACCGGCGCUCGAGCGAAAGCAAGGAGCUAGAUCUUUUGUGUGUGUGAGUGCCAGGUGCGGGCGAUAACUGCAUGCCUAUAUGCACCGAUCGGACCCUGCAUGUGGUGGGGACACAAUUAGCUUGUGACGGAGAGGAGCUCCACGUCCGGCGAGGGCACCACCGGCCGGGGCCCGCGCCCGUGAGCUGCCGCCACGCAGCGCCGCCGCGCGGAUCUCCGCGCCAUCGAUUGUCCUCAUCGCUUUCGCCUCGAUUCCCCUACUACCGCCUGUCGCGCAACACAUGGCUACUCCGCCACCAGCCUCUUAAUUAUACCUUGUACAUGUGUUCGUAUGUGGAAGAAUAUGGAGACUAGUACGUAGCUAGGUGAGUCGUUUUCGUUUGGAUCCGAUGAUCCUAUUCUAUACCCUCCUCUACAGUCCACUAGAUCAUUUGGCGCCCUUCGGGCGCCCUACAAUGACUGAGAAAACAAUAUGUGAACAACAAAUAUACACUAUGUUACGAAACAUAUUUAUCGCUAAUGUUUUAACUUAGAAGAAAUGGAACAUCCACAAACAACGAACAUGAGGGCUUCACAGCCGUUAUGGUCCUAUUCAACCACAUACUACACAAUCUGUCACUACAUGCACGGCUUCUGUAGCCAUUAUGGUUUUAUCUAGCCAUACAUCACAUACCAUGCCAUUAUCAUUGGCAGAUGCACGAGGGGGGCUGGGUGGCUGCAGCCCCCCUCUUGGGCUCAAUUUUUUUUAACACAUUUUCUUUUUUUAGCAAAAGACUUCAUAUAUUUGGUAUUUUUUCUAUGCUUAUUUUAUAAAUCUUUGCCUUUGAAUCCAUAUUGAAUUAUCAAUCUUAGCUAUAUCUAUUAGGUCUUGUUUAGUUCCCAAAAUAUUUUACAAAAUUUCUCAGAUUUCCCACCACAUCUAAUCUUGCGGCACAUGUAUGAAGCACUAAAUAUAGAUAAACUAAUUACAUGGUCUACCUAUAAUUUGCGAGACGAAUCUUUUAAGCCUAGUUAGUCCAUGAUCGGACAAUAUUUGUCAAAUACAAACGAAAAUGCUACUAUUCCUAUUUUGCAAAAAAAAAUUGGAACUAAACAAGGCCUUAGUGUACUGGAUUGAGUGAGAAAAAAAUUUUAGCAUGUAUUAUUUAGCCCCCCUCUUGGUCCAUUUCUGGAUCCGCCACUGGCCAUUAUAGUCCAGGAUCGGUAUUCAUGACUACCAAACACUAUAGUCGGUAGCUUAGAAUGCCGAUCCAAAUACACUGGCGAUCAUUAGAGAGUACAUAUAUAGAGAUACCGCGAAACCAAAAGAGCAUACGUUGUGCAGCUUGUAGAGGCAAAAGCACCUUGAUCAUCCUUCUCCGAUCAACUAUCUUCAGUUGUUGCACUGUAAACAUAAGAGAAUAAGGCGUAAUGUUGGGAGCCAUAAACAAAAGCAAUGAAAUCUUCCAUUGCAAGUGGCACACACCACGUAAUUAUGAGAAUGACAGCAUGUUAUUUCACACGAAUAAAACAUCUUAAGAUAAAUGUCUACAAAGAUAAUUCACCCAAUUCGACCGGAUAGGUAUGGAACACUAAGUAUUGCAUCGGAAUUAGAGUGCAAGUAUGGGCAUAGUCCAGAUUUCAUUUAUAAAUCGAACGGACAGCUCCACUGUUGCAGAAACUGAGGUGUAGAGCAUUUGAUUUUUAAAUUUGCAUACUGACUAAACUACAUAUGGAUACUUUAUGCAUAGAAUCAGACCAUAACAGGAAAAAAGGAGCUUAUAAUUUUAGGCAACAUGUACAUCUUGGAGUCUGAGAUUCUAUGCAGAGAUUCAAGUUUCUGAGAUGAGCUACUGGCAUUAGUAAUCUCACAUUUUGGAAAAAUAACACUAUGCAUUAACAACUUGAUCCCAUACAGCAAGAAACAACCACAUGCAUAUACAUAUAAGGAUACCAUGCGAUACACACGUGAAGAGCGAGUUCUAGAAGGAAACAGCCACAUGCAUAUACAUAUAAGGAUACCAUAUGAUACACACGUGAAUAUACAUAAAAUAGUUUUCAGCAAUGCCAACCUUUUCCUAUUCAUAUUUUUCAGUGUCUUGGUUUCAGAGUUGUCAGGAACAUCUUUGUUGGUAUCUCCAUCUAAGAAAAGUUUUUUUGCAGAUUUUUUUGGGUGAUGGGCGAGUUCUAGUAGGAAACAGCCACAUGCAAAUCAAACCAAUCUUGUGCAAAUCUAGUUGCAGUGGGUGAAUUCACAAUUCAAAAAUAAUUUUGUAAGAGGUCUAUACAUUGGAGCUAAUUUUUUGGUUCAUAUAUCUAUGUAGAUUCUACUCCUAAUAUUACAUAUAUUCUAGCUACUAAGUGCAUUUUACAUGCUCUGACUUGGCACCAGUACCUCCUGAUCCCCAGCGCCACACUUGAGCAGUCCCACGUAUACACCUCCGACCGCUGCCUGCACCCUCCUACGAGGCUCAAAAUGUUAUUUUAUACUCACUAAAGAGGGCCACAUUUUUCAUUUUCUAAAAUUAAGAAUUUAACACAUGUGCAUGCUAAACACACGCUGAAUGCAUGUCUAAUAUAGACAUUGAAUCACUUAAGUAUAAUUUAAUGGAUGAAAAUUUACCUCAAGGGCACCCAUGGUCAAGAGCAGGAUCAUGAUGAGAUGGUGAAGGCAACAGAGCACCUGGGAUUGAUGGGGAAGGUGUGCCUUGUAUGAACCUUGCUCUUAGAAAGCAAUGUUCGACAUUUUGACCAUAAGUAAUAGCGCAACACAUUUUAUUUCUAUCCUAAGCUAUACAUUGCUAUAAGGAGCAUUUGUAGUGUGGUGAUCUAAAGCAACAUGCUUACUGUAAUGCAAGCAAAAAAAAAACAAGUUGCCUGCUGCUUGCUACCAUCUAACAAGAGCCAGAGAUAAACUCGUACAUCUCAUAUGAGCAAGAUCCACAAGCAACUGGAGAAGUAAAUUUAGACAUCUCAAUGCGAUUUUCAAAUCAGAACAUCUAACAACACAUAAAAGUAUAAGAUGCUACUCUCGCCUAUAUGCUUUAUCAGAAUAUCUGAGGUUAAAAUCUGAUAGAGCAUCGAAGUCAUCAAUGGAGAGACCUGUAAUAGACAAGAUCUUUACUUACUGUAAGAAUUUAAAUAGCAGUAGAGCACAUAGACAUCAGACAAGUGAUACCGUUUGCCUACCUAACCUUGAUAGUGAUCUUCUGCUAUCAACCUGCAUAUAACAUCAAUGCCUACAUGGUAGAUUUUCUUGGAGCAAACUGCAAACCCAUUUCUUACUAAUGACUUAGAUGGACAUGCUUUGAAAUGAUCCCAACUUUCAUGAUGAAAGGUUUGAAUUCAAAGGUAUUGACAAAACAUGGAAAAGGAAAACUAGAAUACCUAAGGGCCAGCAGAAAUUCUAUAAAAUUUCAAAAAAGUGCAGGUUCAGUUGUCAAUAGGGAUGACAAACACUUGCAAUGUUGUAGAUGCACAUACAGCAGCUGUUGGGUAUUCUUAACAUCAUUACCAAAAGUAGACUAAGUUCUCUAAAUCUAGUAACGGUGCCAAAAAUGCCAAACCUAUCCCUCACACCACUUAAGCCAAGUUGUCAUCCCCAGCAUGACAUGAGAGACGCGGUAUUGAAAUAUGCAAUUGCUCUUCUAAAUAAAUAAUGAAUGGGAUCUGCAAGCGCACAGAUUAAUACCGAUGUAGCAUUUUAACCGGGAAGUAUUCCAGGUAUCGUUAUUUAUAUUUUUACCACUCAGAAGGGAUUAGCAAUCAUCAAUAUCGAUUACAGAAUAGAAUAUGAGAUUGAGCAUCUAUCAUUGCAUGUAUAAUUGAGAACAUUAUAUCUAACUCUUCAUACAGGGAUAAGUGUCACAUAAAAGAUAUAUAAAAUAAUAAUAGUGACAAAGAUAAUUAGUCUGAUCUAGCCACAUAAUAAAUAUGAUAAGCACCUCAAUUAGAUACUCUAGAAAGUCAUUAGCAUGGUAUUAGAACGAACUACAAGAAUAUUCCCUAAGUUAUUCUCAACUAUAUAGUCUAGCAUAUCAUAGUUAGUGCAAGCAUACUUAGCAAUCAUUGUGAGACAAGACUACGCCCAUGUAUAGUGAUAUUAGCAAGGUAAAUGAGAAACAUAGCAAUCAUUCUCCUGUAAUAAUGUUGCUCUGCCAGCCCAAUACACGAGAGGGGGACUAUAUAAGAAUCAAUGAAGCUGUCACUAUCACGAACCACCCCACGAUCUGGCAUAUUGGGUACAAUCGCAGAUAAAUACGGUAUAAGCACCACGCCUACACAAUAUCUAUCAUUUACCCAUGGAUCCAAUGGAUAAACGCUAUACGAUCCUAAGCAUGUAUAUAGAUCCAAUCUAACUAAGCCAAGUACAUAACUAUGAUAAACUAAGAACAAUAUAAUCUUGAAUAUAAGCAAGUAGAGCAAAGUCAUAAGCAAUAUAUUGAAGUAGAACAAAGUCAUAUUCAUAAUAUUGAAGAACAAAGAUAAUUAGAAAGCAAUUAGAAGCACAAUUAGAGAAUUACCAAGAAUCCUCUUGACAGAUCCGGAAACCAAUCGAAGAUUGACUCCUUCUAGUUCUAAUCCUAUGUAGCUAUGCUAAUCUAGAUAUCUAAUUGAUGUGGUGGCUCUAAUCUUGAUCAGAGGCUUCUUCUCCCUUGAGAAUAAUGAAUUAGGGUUGAGAGGCUCUCUCCUCCAGGGGCCAGGGGGUCUGGUUUUAUAGUCCCUUCAAGUGAAUAUGGGCCGUUGGAUCAAACCGACAUAGAUUGUAUGGUUUAGAUUCAUCCUUUAGGUCGGUGGAGAUCUCCCACGAAGCAGAGUCCUGAUUGGACUCCAGAGGUGGGCGGGCGCCCAGGAGAACAGAGCGGGCGCCCUGCCUUUGGCCCCGUUUCGCCUCUGCUUCGGUCUCGUGGCUUCUGGAGUCUUCUAGAUGUAAGAUAAUUGCGUGGCACGUUAAUAUCUCUAUGUAAUCCCGACGUGUGGGCCUUUCUUCCGUAUUUCUUGAUAACCCCCUGCAGAAAUAGACAAACACCAAAACUCGUGGAAUUCUGUCAGAUAAAACCCUAAGUCUAGAUGUUGAUUUCAUUUGGAUCCUUUUCUUUAUUUAUUUGAUAAUUAAAUUUGAUACUUAAGGACCGUCAACAAACUCCCCCAAGCUUACCUCUUGCUCGUCCCUGAGCAAGGAUAGACUUAGCUAUGGAUCAUAAGUUGUUGCAAUUUUUUUUAAAAAUUGACGGUACACAUGCUUUUUAAAUAAGAUCUCAUCUCUGAGCUAGAGUAAACUGUCAAGACUUAAAACUUACUUACUUUACCUUUCACCAUGGGACUUGUAACCGUUACUUCUGUCUUGAGUAGUUAAAAAGAUAGAACAGUCUAGUCAAGUGCCAUGUCUCUUAUUCUUGAUCAGCUAUAGCUCUGGUGUUUUUGCAGAUUUUGAAAUAAAACUCAGAGAUUCCUUGUAUGACUCUCUCAAAUCUCUCUUUUGUGGUAUUUCUAGAUCCUUACCAAGGCAGUGAUGGUAUAUGCCUUCUCUCAAUAUAUGUGGUAUUUGUGGUAUAAAGCAUAGUGACAUUAUCUUCUCUCUCACCCUACUCUAAUAAGGCUUUAAUAUCUGGAGCUCAUAGGUGGGAGAUAAAGUAUACAUAUUUACAAGACAUUUAUUGCAUAGUCAAACCAUGGAUCCAAAGAAACAAAUCAAUAAGUCAAAUCAAGAUAUGCAUGUGUGGCGAAUGAAUGAUGUAUGGUGAUGAUGGUGAUAACAAUGGUGGAAGUCUAAUUCUACUUUUGCUCUUUGAGGGGAUACAUACCUUCCUUGCUUUUUGAAAUUUUAUGAGGAGAAUGAGAUGCUCUUCUUUUCUUUUCUCUCAAGUGGGUAUCUUGUACCCCUAAUUCUACUGUCGAACACUUGUCCAUUUUUAUCUCUCGUCUCACUUUUUCUUUUCUUUCGAGGUUCCGGGCACUUGCCCCUUUUUAUUUCCUCGUUUUUUAGAGCACUCAUCUCUUGAGAUAAUAUAGCAAGUGGUAGUAACAAGAUAACUUGAGCAUUUAUUUCACAAGGAAAAACAAAAAUGUUUUUGGCUAUUCUCUCCCGGAUCAAGAGUAGAAUAUUUUUGGGUGAUUCUGGAGAUGGAAUGGGUGGAUAUAUGUGGAUGGUACUUCUGGAGUAGAAGUAGCAUAUAUGAGUGAACGUGCAAGUGAAAUCUUGAUUUAACCACAUGACAAGCUCCUAAGGGUCUACACAGCUUGACCACACUCAAUGCUCAUAAGCAGUAAAUAAUAAAUGUGUGGCUCAAAGUCUAGCAAGCAUGUAUAUAUGGCUGUGGUAGGAAUUUAAACUCUCAUCAUACAG